CAGCCGCCGCGGUAAUACGUAGGGUGCAAGCGUUAAUCGGAAUUACUGGGCGUAAAGCGUGCGCAGGCGGUUAUAUAAGACAGAUGUGAAAUCCCCGGGCUCAACCUGGGAACUGCAUUUGUGACUGUAUAGCUAGAGUACGGCAGAGGGGGAUGGAAUUCCGCGUGUAGCAGUGAAAUGCGUAGAUAUGCGGAGGAACACCGAUGGCGAAGGCAAUCCCCUGGGCCUGUACUGACGCUCAUGCACGAAAGCGUGGGGAGCAAACAGGAUUAGAUACCCCUGUAGUCCCUGUCUCUUAACA
rnacentral:rRNA from 1 species